rnacentral:rRNA from 1 species
UACGAAGGGGGCUAGCGUUGUUCGGAAUCACUGGGCGUAAAGGGCGCGUAGGCGGCCUGGCAAGUCGGGGGUGAAAGCCUGUGGCUCAACCACAGAAUGGCCUUCGAUACUGCUGGGCUUGAGACCGGAAGAGGUCAGUGGAACUGCGAGUGUAGAGGUGAAAUUCGUAGAUAUUCGCAAGAACACCAGUGGCGAAGGCGGCUCACUGGCCCGAUACGUGACGCUGAGGCACGAAAGCGUGGGGAGCAACAGG